rnacentral:rRNA from 1 species
CCGAAGACUGUGAAGCAGACGCGUUAGUGUCGUGGUUGCAGGUGUUGUCGAGAAUUGUUGAGGGUGAGGUAUGCGUAGGUGGGUUGCUGGGAAGUGAGUGAAAACUUCGUGCAGAACUCGGGACUGGCUUACGAAACGGGCAGACUUGAGGCAUAAAGGGGAGAACAGAAUUGCUGGUGUGGCGGUGAAAUGCGCAGAUAUCUGGAGGAACUCCGGUGGCGAGGUCGGUUCGCUGGGAAUGAUCUGACGCUGAGGAGCGAAAGAGUGGGGAACGAACAGGAUUAGAUACCCGAGUAGUC